rnacentral:lncRNA from 1 species
UAGAAAAUAGAGCUGUUGUUUGUAAUUAAAACUUUUAAGAUUAGAUGUUACAGUGUUUUUACUCCCUUCCAAACAGUAAAGUUCCUCUUUGUCUCUGAGUAGGAAAUUUAAACCAGACAGUACAAGGCUACAUUUCAGUGUUACAAGCCAAUCAGUUUGCUAAUUGCUCUGUGAGAUUUGUUUGCAAAGUUUAAGGUGUUAAGUAGGACUGUGAACAUCUGGGUCUGCUUGCUGCUGGCAUUCUGCCAGAGCCCCAGCAACAAGACCGCCUCCCAGCAACGAGACUGCCUGUCAGCUUUGCAAGGUACCCAAUUUUCCAAUUACUCUAUAACAAAACUGUUGUGGGCAACAAGACUGUCUCCUAAGUUUGCAAGCCAAUCACUUUGCCAAAUGUUCUUGUAAGAUUUGUUUGAAAAGUUUGAGGUGGUAACUGUGAGCUGUGAACAUCUGGGUUUGCUUGCUGCUGGCAUUUGACCAGCGUCUCAGCAACAACACUGCCUCCCACCUUUGCAAGGUAAUUACUUUCCCAAUUACUGUACACCAAAACGAAGUAACUGUCGUUGUCAACAAAUCUGCCUCCCAACUUUCAAGGUAAUCACUUUCUCAAUUACAAUAUACAAACUGUUAUGGAACUUUACUUAACAAAGCCUUAAGACCGGGUAGUGACACUAUCAAUAUGUCUAUUUAUUUGUUCUUGUAGUCAUCUUGUCUAUCAAUGUAUCAGAGGGUUAAACUAACAAAUUGCUUGAAAUGCCAAUAAUUAAUAUUCUGUUUUUAUGCUGACAUUCUACCAGAUGCCGAGAAAAAAUAAAAGAUCCCAGGCACAAAAGAAGCGCUGGAAACCACUUGACCUGGUCGAUCCUGCUGUCCCAAAGCUCACUGGCCACAACCAAGAUGAGGCAGUCAGUAGUUUUCCAUCUGACCAGACGGCACCAGCCAGGUUAUCUUUGGAAACACAGGCUAGACCCACCUCCUUAUGUUCCCCAGGUACCAAGCAGACAGCACCAGCCAGCUUGUCCUUGGAAACGGAGAAUAGACCCACCUCCUUAUGUCCUCCAGGCAGCAAGGUAAAUUUAAAAUGGUAUUCCUCCAUUAAGGAUUUAUAGUGGACAGUUACAUUACCAUUAAAUGUUAAAGACAUAUGGUUACAUGUUAGCCUUAUGCAAACAGUAAGAAUUUUGUCUCGCUUCUGUUAGUUUUGUUUAAAAUUACACUCACUUUCAAAUUUCUUAGUAGUUAUGCAAACAGCUGGAAUUUUUUUUUUUAUUGCUUUGUAAGUUUAGUAACCGCUACGGUUUCAUGUUUUCUUUAAAGUAUCCAGUGUUCAUUCUAUUUCAAAUCUGUUAGUAGGUUUUCUAAUUUUGAUUAACUGUAUUAUCAGAGUUCAGAAACUCGUCCACCAGCAAAACGAGUCUGGGCAACCGAUGACUUCCACACGGCAUCAAAUUCUCCACCUAAAAGGGUAUGUCCACAAAUGUCUCUAACCAAUUAGUAUACAUGUGAUGUUUGCUGUAUAAUCACCGGGGUUGAUAUUUAGUCUUUCACCUUAAGUGUGCUUGCUAACUCGUACUAAAUAUACUAAAAUGUUAGACUAAACAUGUACAUUUGUCAAUUUCUUUUCAUCAGACUCUUAAAAUGCAGACAUCUCAACAGCUAUUUCUGUCUGUCUGUUUAACUAUUUCUAUAUCUAUUGUUCUGAAAUAACUUUUAUACCAUUUUAUACUUAAAGCUUCAGAUAAAUUGACAUCCACAGUGAAAAGCAGUGCAAAUAAAUACAAACAUGAUUUUGUGACACUCACCUUUUCUCAAGAUGGAUGUCAGUGUAUUCUGUUUCAAUCACAUUUAACCUGUAACUGAAUUUUGUGUCAUUUCUUUACAAAACGUAACACAACUAUGAAACGUGUUUUUAUGGCACAUG